rnacentral:antisense_RNA from 1 species
UGCAUUCUAGGAAGAUCAUUCCUUAAAAGAAAUAGCCAUAUGGCUUAUAAGAUGGAGUCUCACUCUUGUCACCCAGGCUGGAGUGCAAUGGUGUGAUCUCGGCUCACUGCAACCUCUGCCUCCCAGGUUCAAGUGAUUCUCCUGCCUCAGCCUCCCAAGUAGCUGGGAUUACAGGGACUAUAUCUUAGGACUGUGUGUCUUCUGCAGUUCUUUGCAUAGAGUCAAUGUUGAAGGACAAGCAACUUCAAAUUUCCAAGCAACAAAAUUAUGUUCGGGUGGUUUUCUGAAAGCGAGAUCUUAAGAACCACCCGUAUCAGAAUCCCAUGAAGAGCUUGUUUAGUGUGCAAAUUUCCAGAUUGUCCCCCCUCAGAAAUGCUCAUUCAGGAGUUCAUGUCCUUUGCAGGGAUGUGGAUGAAGCUGGAAACCAUCAUCCUCAGCAAACUAACACAGGAACAGAAAACCAAACACUGCAUGUUCUCACUCAAAAGUGGGAGUUGAACAUGAGAAAACAUGGACACAGGGAGGGGAACAUCACACACCAGGGCCUGUCGGGGGGUGGGAGGCAAGGGGAGGGAGAGGAUUAGGAGAAAUACCUAAUGCAUGUGGGGCUUAAAACCCAGAUGAUGGGUUGAUAGGUGCAGGAAACCACCAUGGACAUGUUUACCUAUGUAACAAACUUGCAUGUUCAGCACAUGUAUCCCAAAACUUAAAGUAAAAUAUAAAAUAA